rnacentral:lncRNA from 1 species
UAUGUUGAACAUCAACCAAGAACCAGACUAGCCAAAUCACACUCUUCAACCCUCAAAACCAUCGGACAAAUAGCAAAACCCAUUGAUUUGAUAUCUCGUCAUUUGAUCUUUCUAUUUUUGGUCUCAAUCAAUAUCACCGGCCUUCCCAUCACCCUUUGUUGAAGCAAAUACUCUGUAAUUUCAUCAAAAGAAGGACAAAUCCAAAGACCCAUCAAUUUCAAGGUAUUUUUCCUUUGAUUCGAUGGCUUCCCAUCUUAAACCGCUGGGGCUUUCCCAAGAAUUCAAAUUUUGAAUUCUUGGGUACCUGAGAAUCGUUGCAAUCCCCUUAAAUUUGGCUAUAAAUUGAGCCAUUAAGCUCCUAUUUUGAUCAGCCAGAAAGGAAUCAUCAAGAAUCAUCAAAUCUCCGACGAGGAAAAACUAGUCUGCUGCUCCACAAAAGGUAAUCACAUUCACCUUUCAUUUCGGUUUGGUUCCUAGAAAUAAAAUGUAGUCGUUCAAUAUUCUUUUUGCUUUGUCGGAAUUCUACCUAUUUGGAUGUGUUGGUUUUUCAUUAUUUCCUGUAGUUUUAAUCUGUAAAAUAAAAUGGUUAACGAUAACUGAUAAUAUUUAUAGAAACUAUUGGUGAAUAAGCUUUUCGUUCACAUCGUUAUGUUCUAAAGUCCGUCGAAACCUGUUAUGCCGUUCUUGUUCUAGAAUCGCUGUCAAGUGGUUUUAAAAAAUGAACUUGAACGUUUAGGUAGAUGGGAUCACUUUGCUGUGCGUUAAGGAUUUGUGUGUGAAUGAAAGGUUCUUUUACUGGCUACCCAUCUCUAUCUCAAAUUCGACACAUCUAAAAAUUAGUUUAUAUUUAGUUUAUUUGAAAGUCAUUACUGGACGAUUUCGUUAACCCAAAAUUGGCAAAGUAUUGGUUCUGAGUUUUAGCUUUGUCGAAAGGGUGAAGUUGUAGGUCUAAAUUUGAUUGCGAUGUUCUGUUUCAAAUUCAUAGAAUUGACUAAGACACAUUUUUGGAUAAUCUGCAACCCUCAUUUUAACUUAGCAGGUGCAUAAAAUUUGGUGAAACUGAGGCUUCUUACUUGUUUUUGUUUGUUAAUAGGUAUAUAUAAGUAGAAACAAAAGUGUUAACUCAAUAAUCUCUUUUUCUCCUCACGAUUACAAAUAAUAAGUUGUCUGCAGUAGGUUUCUUCUUAUGAUUGUUGCUAUGUACUCAAAUGUUUUGUCAUUUGAAUUUAUAGUGUGUCCCUCAUAACCAAGAGGCUUACGAAGUGAGCAAUUAGGAAUCUUUUUGAUAGUAAACUAAAAACAAUGUGAGAUCGUGAACUUUAUGUGCUAUCUGGUGAUUAGAUUUUAGUUUGGUAAUCUGCAUUGUCAUCGGGUCUAAUAUCAAAUUUAGAACGCAUUUGCGUUUCAGCUUACCUUAAUGAUUCUUAGUGAUUUUAUUCUUGCAGUAAACAAUGUCUUUUAUCCAUGAAUCAUGUUUUAAGAUCAUGUGUUGAUGCCUACCAUCUCUUUUUGGAAAUUAACUCAUUCUUUCCAUCUUUAUAGUAUAUAAAACAUGCUCAUAGAGGUUUGUUUAGAAGGUCGUUAGCCAUACUUUUUGGACGUUACUUAAUUAAUCUUUAGUUACAUACUUAAACCAUGUUUCCAGAUUUUCAUCAGUCUCCCAUGUAAAGGUGUUCUGUUUAUACUUUGUGGUUAUGGGUUUGUUUCAAAAUUUCUCUUUGUUCUUGCCUAUGGUAAGUAGAGAUGAGUAUAUUUCAGCUUCGCGAUUAAUCACCUUAGGACACGUCGAAUCCUUAAACCUCGCCCAAAAUGUGUGUCUAAGAACGGCAUAAAGAACUUCUUUUUGAUAUUUUUUUGUGGACUGUGAGUUUUCAUCUUUUUUUUACUCUUUUUUUGUGUAAGCAUUUGUUUAAAAACCAGAUUUUGAGUUCACGGAAGUUCAUAUAUAUAGCUAUCAUAGUUAAGAAGUACUCUUGAUAAAAAUGUGAACAUCAUAUCUUCUAUAGAAAUUAUAUUGUUAGGAAUUAUUUUGGUAGUACAUUGACUAAAUAAUUCAGUGUGUUUAGGUAGGUUUGCUGAAAGACACCAAGUGUUGGUCGUACUUAAUCUCCGGUGUUGCUCAACUAAUAUCUUUAAUAUUCUUGUUGGAGAGAAAUCUUUAGUAUGUUCUUAAUUAUUUAUUAUACCUAGAACUGCUAAAUGGGUGUUUUUUUAAAACUAUUGUAUGGGUAUUUAUCAUAUUAGUUGGAAACUAUGAACCGUUCUAUGCCUACAUGAUAUAUGCAAGUCAUGUUGAUUAAGUUAUAUUUCUCCAAGCAAUCUUUGUUCAGUUUUUUUUUUUUAGAACAUGACGGUAAGAAAUUAAUUUGUCAAUAAUGUUGUUUCCAUUGGCUAAUUAGCAAGUUUUCAAGUAUGAUUACUUAAACUAGUUUUCUUAUAAAGAACAUGAUAAAAUCAAUAAGUGGAUUCUUCUUAAAAAUUUAUAAGCCACAUGUUUGGCUGGGCGAUUUAUAUUUGCCCAAAUGAGAAUUUUAUUUAUGACCAUCAACUUGUGUUGCACAUUGCCAUUGAUCUUAAUUAUACACAUACUUAUAGUCCUUUUCUUUCUUGCUUCACAUGUAUGCUCGGGAGCGCGCUUGGGGUUUCAUGGCUCGACUCCAUCUCUGUCCAAGUCAGAGAAGCGACCAAAUAUCCCAUUACACAUUUCUGUCUAGCAGUCUAGUGUCUUUUUCCCUCUCUUCAAGAUUUAUUCUUCUUUUAUACAAACUCAUUAUUAUUUUCGUUUAAUAUUUCGCACAUUAUUAAUUGAAAUCCCAUAUUUUGUAUGUCUAAUUUGAAUUAAUGUCAAUCUUUAAAUGUGAUAGCAUCUUAAUUACUCACUUCUCGGCUCUUAGGUUUUAAAUUUAGCAUUAAUCGCUAGACUUAUGUAUUUAAUUUAAUGUCCUUAAAAGUUUUAAAAUUCGAUAGGUUAAGGCAUGCCCUUUUAGAAUAAUUGGUCGAGUUGUUGGAAUCAUUUAAUGCUUCUUUAACAUAGAAUAGUAUCCUAUCCUUAGAAUCAAGUUAGUUUUCACUAAUUAAUAGUAUCAGAAGAGUUAAAAGAUGUAAAUUUUGCGGUAGACGGACUUAUUAUGAACUCGGACAUCGGCUUUAAUAAUUUUAGAUAUGGUAAAUCAACAUUAUUUUUUUUCAUCAAUUUCAAAUAAAAAUGGUAACUUUGCCAAACCAACUUCGCAAGGUCUUUUUAGAAUUUCAAAUGACAAAAAAAUAUUUUAUUCUGUCGUAUCAUAAUAAAUAAUAAAUUUUCAAGUUAUUAUGCAUUUAAAUAACUAUAUUUUUAGCUAUCUUUAAGAAAAAAAAAUUAUGACGAUGGUUCAUUUAAAGUUUUUUUUAAUGAUUAACAUAUUUAAUUUAAUAAGAUGUAUAUAUAUUUUCGUAAUGCCUUAUGUUUUUCUUAAUAACAUUUGUUUUCCAUAUCUAACCUAAGUUUCACCGGUUAACCGUAGUUAGCGGAUCCUUUAGGGUGCCUAAUCCCUUCUCUUUAGGAUAAUUAGAAUCCUAGUUAAGUAGACCUUAAAAUGAAGUCUUUAAUUGCUUUAAUCACAUAGUUUGUAAUAGGUGUUCUAAUUCACUGUAGAAUUGAUUAGAUGGUGACUUUCUGAUUUUAUUUAGAAGUUUCCAAUAUGUUGUACACUAUUUUUACCUCGGUUAAAAUGGGGUGCGACAUCUUGGCGACUUCACUGGGGAGAUUAGGUUCUUAACCAUAAUAAACUUAGGUUAAUUAUCAUGUUUUUUAUAUUGUUAUUUGUUUUGCCCUAUUUGUCUUGAUUUAUCAUGUUUUUGUGACAUAAAUUAAUCAUUUGCUAUAGAUUGCUUAUUUGUUUAUCGCUUUAUGUAAAUUGACAUUACGUUCAUAUUUCCUCCACUUUAGAAAAUUGACACUCACACACAUUGUACUCGCGGAUUGUACAUUGUACUUUCCCAAAAUUCUUUCAAAUCAACUUACUUUAGAGAGUCGGCACAUACGUGGGGUGAGCGGGAGUUUUACUGUCGUGGGACCACGUGCCUUCUCAUAUAGAAAAUCCAAGUUUACGUCUACACAAAUCUUAGAAGACUUAAGAUAGAGCGUUACAACCCUUGAUUAGUUCAUGCAUGCAUAAACCUUAAGUGGCUUGACCCAUGGUGUCAUUCCACAAAUAGGAGAACACCUUUUAUGUUAAAUGGGUUUCACAACCCAAUGACGACCCUUAUAUUGUGUGCAGAGAUAAUGAUAAAUUGAUCCAAGUCAAAUUUGAUCAAAAUUCAGUUUGGAAAAUUCUAACUCCAAACUCGAAUUAUGUCAUCAAUUAAAGGAGUCACCCACAUAUUAGGAACGCGAUAUUGUUGCUUAAUGUAAUUGUCUACAUGUUAUUUUAUAAUUUAUUUGACUUUACUUGACAACUUACUUGCUACAUAAUCUAUUAAACUUACAUGAAUAGGACUUUAGUUAAUCUCCUUAUUAAAACUAACAUCAUUUCUAUUUUAUUUUUCUCUCUUUUUUAUUUUAUCCCCAAAGAUAGUUGAUUCGUGUUGACAAUCGAACUGACCGACCAUUCUUACUUCAAGAGAUCCAAGGCUUCAACAUUACCACGACGUAGUUGGGCUAUUCGAGGAAGAAGAAUCACCAUGUCACAACCAACCACAUCUAAUCCAAUUGCUACUGGUAGCACUGUGAUUCCAAGGGACCCUUUUGAGACUCUAAAAAAUGAAACUGUUUUUCAACGUAACGAGCAUAUUGCUCGCUUGACUCAAGAGAUUGAGGAUCUGCACAAAGAGUUGAAUCGGGUUAAGGACUUGACCAAUUUUUCCAUUACACUCCAAAGUCCACUUCCUCUAACUCUUUUCUCCUCAGCAUGCUCCACCAAUCGACAACAAUCUACCUCCAACUACAACCGCAAAUCUACCAAAUCAACUACCUAUCUAUACUCUUCCACAAAGUUAACCAGCUACCUACACUACCUAUUCUACUCCUCCUAAUCCAUCACUCGCUCAUAUCCCCCAUGUAUCACCACCAAUUAACACCUAUCCUCUAUCCAAAACUACUCUCACAAACCAACUAAUUCAACCACCUACUAAUACCUCUUAUAAACCCCUACCACCUCUAAUUCAAAAUUAUCCAACCCAGCAUAUACAAGGGGCACAUGUGGCCACUCCUUACACUCAACAUGUUCCUCUUGUAUAUGCAGUAGAAAAUCAAAACUUUACUAAUCCAAUUACGAUUAGGUUCCAACCUGAGGUAGAUUAGUAUGAGGAAAUGGUGAAGGAUUCCAAGUCUAAGGUCAAUGAUGCGUUAGCAAGGGAGAAUGAGAAACCUCCAAAUUAUUAGGGAAACAAAAGCCUGGAGUAUGAGGAUUUGCGUGUGCAGCCUGACAUUGACUUGCCUGAAGGAUAUAAUCCCCCAAAAUUUGAUUUGUUCAAUGGAGUUGGUGAUCCAUAUGCACAUUUAACAGCCUACUGUGAUAAGUUGGUAGGAGUAGGGAGAAACGAAAUGAUUAGAAUGAAAUUGUUUAUAAGGAGUUUGUCUGGUGAAACUCUUGCUUGGUACACAUAACAGGACCUUCGUAAAUGGCAUGGAUGGAAUGAUAUGGCACAGGACUUGAUGGAUUAGUUCAGGUUCAACAUUGAAAUCACACCUGAUAGGUAAAGUUAACUGAGACUUUUUGUGAGUAUGCUCUGCGUUGGAGGGCGGAAGCAGCUAAAGUCCAACCACCGAUGAGUGAAAGUAAAAUGACUGCUGCCUUCAUUGAAUGCCAAGAUAACAGCCUCUACUAUGAGAAAAUAAUAACUAUGAUGGGACAAAAGUUCAUGGAAAACGUCAGAAUGAGGGAAAUCUUGGAAGAUCGGAUCAAAUCAGGAAGAAUCCAAGACUAUACAGCUUUGCAAGCUGCAAGCAAAGCAAUUCAAUAUGGUUCCAUCAAUGGGAACAAAAAAAAGAAAGAAGAUGUAUCUGCCCUCCCGAUUGACCAAGGAUAUAAGUAAAAUCAAAUUCCUCUAUACCCAAAUCAAUCACAUCAGCCUAUUUAUGCUUACCAAUAUGCUGGAACUUCCUAAACACUCUAUCAACUUCCACCAACUCCUUAUCCUGUCUACAAUACCCAAGCAAAUUAGUAUCAACCUCCAACUCCUGCUUACCAAGCUCCACAUGUUGCACCUAAAGCUCGUUCAAGUCCUGAAGUAAAAAACACUCGCAACUACACCAAAAUUGCUGAAUCAUAUGCUCAAUUAUUUGAAAGAUUUAAAAUAGCAAGUGUGCUACCAAUUGAAGCUAAAAUCCCAGAUCCUAUUCCAAAAUAGUUUGAUGGUUCCAAGCGUUGUGUAUAUCAUUCUGGAGUUGUUGGGCACGACACCGAGAAUUGCUACGGCCUUAAAAACAAGAUUGAAGCCUUAAUUAAGAAAGGGGCAAUUCAACUUACUGAACCUCAACCCAAUGUGAACAACAACCCUCUGCCUAACUAUGGGAAUGCUAACGUGAACAUGAUAACUAUUAAGAAAGAUUUCGAUUCGAAAGAAAGCAGUGUACCAAUUAGAAAGGUGGGAAAGGACACAUCAUUGAUCUUUGACGCUCCUAUGAUAACAGUUCGAAAGCCAACGUCAAUGGAGGUUACUACUGCUAGCACUAAGACACCGAUCAUUUGGGGUGACAAACCAGAGAAAACAUUGAAGAAAUGGACUUGCACUCUGUACCUGGUUCGCUAGGGGUCUUGGUAGACUGUACAAGUUGUCACACUUUUGAAAAGCACGAUUUUAAAAACUAAGGCUUGAUCAUGCCUAAGGCUUUAUGUUGUUUUGCCUCAUCUUUUGGAAGCUUAAUUGCAACAUCUAUGAAUGCAUUUCCUAUUUUUCAUUAAUUUUCUAUUACAUUUACUUUCUCUCUUUUUAUAUAAAUUAUCGAAAUUUGUUAAUUUACGACUGUGACAUAAUGAAACAAAUGAACAAAUCUUUGAAGCUUACUAAAAGUUUGAUCAACCAACCAAGAAACAUGACGAACAUGAAAAUAUUCGAGCACAAAGAAUAUUCAUUCAAGAGAAGUGAAGACACAACAUCAUAGGACGACUUUAGAUAGGCUUCUCUUUUAGAUGUAACCCUUAAUUUUUAUGCAAAUUAAGAACUACGUUCUAGCCUGAUUCCCUUGGUGGGAUACAUAGGCAGCCCACAUAGGGUUCGAUUUUACUAUAGCAAAAAAAGAGGGUUCAAAAAUCUCUUAUUUGUAAUAGGAGAACUAUGCCUGACCUAAUUCCCUUGGUGGGAUAUGUAGGCAACCUAUAUUGGGUUCGGUCCCUUUACUUGAAAAAUCCCAUAAUCAUUUUUAUGUAUCUUGAACUAUGUUCUGACCUGAUUCUCUUUACGAGAUACGUAGACAACCUAUAUAAGGUUCGGUCUCACCACAACAUAAAUUUAGUAUACAUUUCUAAAGCCAAGACUGGGACAAAUUUUGAGAAGACAUGAACAAAAAUGAUGGGACAUAGUCAAUGUACAUUUGACUCGGGCUACCAGACAAAGAGCAAACAGAUAAAGAACGUUCAUUUUUUUCAAAAGGGUCGCAGUCUAACAUUGGCAAAGGUUUUAAAAACUAUACAUAUCUUUGCAUAUCCUUCAAAUAUUUUUCUUAAAAAAUCUUUCACUACUUGUUCGUUUACCAAGUCUCGACGGAUAUUACAAGAUCUGAAUGGAGAAGAUGAACUGAGGAUCAACAGGGUCAAGCUUCGAGUCAACACGAAUCAGCAUCCCCCUCCCAACUAAGAAUUUUUCUUUGAGUGCAUGGACAAUAAAGAUACAAAAUGACAACACUAGGUUGAUGUCAAUCUGGGCCAAAAUGUCAUUUGGCUUCUACAAGGAAUUUCUCAUCCAGGAUAAAUGUCGAAAUCAGAAGACGACAUUUAAUCGAUCACAAUCACCACCUACAUCUUAACAUCUCCACUUGUUUUUCUUCUUUACCUUAUUAACUUCCUUUAAUUCACUUUAUUCACCUAACACCUUCACCUUGAAUUUUACAUGAACCAAUAUCAAGUUUUCAAAGACAAAUGGAGUCAUCACUUGACCAUACCUCUCCAUCAUAAGCCACCCGACUUUAUUUCUUAUUCAUUACUUUAUGACUCUAUUCAACAACUUGACUCUAAAGAAAAUCUAGGAUUUACAUCAUUAACAUUAGUCUCCGUAGACAAUCGGAGUUCAUUAACAUUGGUCCCCAUAAACAAUCGGAGACAACAUUCAUUAUCAGGUCUCCGUAGACAAUUGGAGUACAUCAUCAAGUCCCCGUAGACAAUUGGAGCCGUUAUUCAUCAUCAAGUUUCCGCAGACAAUCGGAGACAUCAUUCAUCGUCAAGUCUCUAAAAACAAUCAGGGUUGUCACUCAUCAAGUCCCGUAUACAAUCGAAGACAUCAUUCAUUAUCAGGUCUCCAUAAACAAUUAGAGUACAUCAUCAAGUUUCCGUAGACUAUCGAAGGCGCCAUUCAUCAUCAAGUCCUUGUACACAAUCAGAUGAGUCAUACACCAUUAACUCUCUGAAGACAACCAGAGGUGUCAUUUAUCAUUGAGUCUCUAAAGACAAUCAGAUACUUCAUUACAUCAUCAACAUAAGCCGAGCGGCUACACUCUUACUUUACCCUUUACUUUACCAAUUACUUUAAAUCACCCUACCUACUUUAAUGAUUUUACCUUAAAUCUUACAUAUAUCAUUAGUCAUCAAGACUACCAAAACAACCAAAGACGUCAUUUAUCAUCAAGUCUCCAAAGACAAUUGGAGGCAUUACUUACCAUCAAGUCCCUGAAGACAAUCGGAGACAACAUUCGGCUAUACAGCCACAUCACCUUAUGAGCCACGCAACUUCAUCCUCUUUUUUAUCCUCUUAUAUUUCUUUAAUUUAUAAAUUUAUCUUUGAUUCAAUUGGUAAUUUUACUGCGAGUUUCAUUUCUUGUAGGAAAUAAUUUGCGACAACAGAACAAACAUCACAACGUGGAACUACCUCUUAGCGGAGAACUGAGGCAAGCUAGCAGAAUAUCAAGCAUCCCUAGCAAUGUCGAUGAUUAAGAACUCAACUCGACUCAAUUUUCACAAUAUCUUGUGUAACUCUAAAAUCUAUCCAAAACUAUAAGAAGUCUGAUUCUAGACACGAUCCUACCCACUUCACUCAAGCUAAAUCAUUCUUCUUCUCAUUACCAGUAAGACCAAUGCAAUCAUAAUUUUGUCACUAGGACAAAUUUUGAGUUUCUCUUAAAAUUUUAUUGUAACAUACUUUUGAACUACAUUUACCAGAUUCUCGUGGAACCCGGCAUAUGUAGGCGACUCAAAAACCAGGGUUUGGUCAAAUUCAUAACUACAAUCGUGUCAAUUCUAGCUUCACUGUCCCAUCCUUCAGGCGUAGACUUCCUACAAUUCGUCUAAUUUACCAGUCGAGACAAAAUUAGUUUACGUCAAGGUCUUCGCCCAAAGACUCUUUUCAUCCUCUUUGGUCUAAGAGGGACAAGCUAUUGACACCCAAUUUUGGCUCUCCUUUUUUUCAUAAAAUUAAUUUCUUGAUGCUUAGGAUUCAUGAAAAUUUUGCAAAAUAUAUUUUUUCUUACUUUUAACAUUUAAUAAUUUGAAAAUGAUAUAUUUUUUUCUUCAUAUCUUCGCUAUUAAAAUACUGAUAUCACAUUUUAUAAAUUUGCACGGGGAAAUAUAGAUAAUUGAGUAUAUUUUUAAUUUAUCAUUUUUCAAUAAUUUUUCUAAAAUGAAUAUAUGUUAGCAUAUUAAUAUAAUCCUUACUAUAUUAUCAUCUUUUUCUUACAAAUUUACUCUGAUUCUAUGGACAAUAGGACAUAGAACACAACAUAUAAUGGAUAUACUAACAGAAAAAUGUACAAACAUACAAAUACAAAAACAAUUAAAAAGAAAUGAAAUGAAUUUCUGCAAAUCUGUUUUAUACACAACCCAGAAUUACGAUCAGAAACAGCAUAGAAAAUAUAAGAAGAAACAAAAACCAUAUAGUCGUAAACAAUACUUCUUAAGAAAAUCAAAAGCUAAAAAACCGUGGUUAAACAGAGAUAGACAUGUUAGAAAAUAUAGAAAUAAUAGAAAUUAUAAAAACAAAUUAGAAUGCUAUACUUGUGGAAGCAUCGACCAUUUAGCUAAUGUAUGUCCUAAAAGAAAUAAUAAUAGAACUAGAAAUUCUCAACUAAUAGAGGAUUUCCAAGAAACUUUAUUAAAUGUAGACGAAUACAUGUCAGAUACAGAAAGUAUAUACUCAAUAAUAAGUAUUGAUAUAAAUGAUAAAGAUAAUCCAAAAUCUGAUUCUUCAGAAUCAGAAGAAGAUAACUUAGUUAAUGAGNNNNNNNNNNNNNNNNNNNNNNNNNNNNNNNNNNNNNNNNNNNNNNNNNNNNNNNNNNNNNNNNNNNNNNNNNNNNNNNNNNNNNNNNNNNNNNNNNNNNNNNNNNNNNNNNNNNNNNNNNNNNNNNNNNNNNNNNNNNNNNNNNNNNNNNNNNNNNNNNNNNNNNNNNNNNNNNNNNNNNNNNNNNNNNNNNNNNNNNNNNNNNNNNNNNNNNNNNNNNNNNNNNNNNNNNNNNNNNNNNNNNNNNNNNNNNNNNNNNNNNNNNNNNNNNNNNNNNNNNNNNNNNNNNNNNNNNNNNNNNNNNNNNNNNNNNNNNNNNNNNNNNNNNNNNNNNNNNNNNNNNNNNNNNNNNNNNNNNNNNNNNNNNNNNNNNNNNNNNNNNNNNNNNNNNNNNNNNNNNNNNNNNNNNNNNNNNNNNNNNNNNNNNNNNUUUUUUAAAUACAUGCAAUAAAUUCUAUAACCCAGUUUACAAUGUUAAUAAAAUAUUAGCAAGAGAUUUAAAUAUAAGAUUCGAUUUUGUUAUCGGACUGAGAUUUUGUAUACAGAAUAAAGGAGGAUGUCUCUUAACAAGAGAUGGAAUAAUGCUCUUUAAAAACUUAACUUAUACACCAGUACAAACAGUAACAUUGCCAACAGUAUAUAGAAUACUAAACACAAAUAAAACGAGAUUGCUUCCAGAACCAUGUUGCGACAAUCGUCAAAACAAUCAAUGCCAAAGUAGCAACCUGUCAAAAGAAAACAAAAAUAUAAGAGAAAACCUAGAAGAAAUUAGAAAUUAUACUCUGCUUAAUGCAGAAGGACAAGAAUGCUUAACAGAUAUAGAAAAAGACUAUACCCUAAUAAGUAUAGAAACUCAGUUUUAUAAUUUUAGAAAAGGAAUAGAUAAAAUAGGAAUAAUAAAUAGUCCAAAAGAUUUAGAAAAUAUAAUAUCUAUAUUAGAUAGAAUGGAAAUAAUAGGAGAAAGACCGUUAGCCCAUUGGGACGCUAACGAGAUAAUGUGUAAAUUAGAUAUAAUUAAUUCGGAAUACACUAUAAAAACAGCACCUAUAGAAGCAAAUAAUGAAGAUACUAAAGAGUUUGAUAUACAAAUAAAGGAACUUUUACAAUUAGAAGUAAUAAGAAGAUCUACCUCUAGACAUAGAUCGGCUGCAUUUAUGGUAAGAAAUCAUAGUGAACAAAUAAGAGGCAAAGUUCGUAUGGUAAUUAACUACAAAAGAUUAAAUGAUAACACCAGAACAGAUGCAUAUAAACUACCAGAUAAAAGUGAGUUAAUUAAUCGAAUUCAAAAUAAAAAGGUAUAUAGUAACAAAAUCAUAGUCCGAUUAUUUAAUAGACAUAGAUCUUAUUUGAAAUAUUAUUUGUAUUAUUUAUCUCUGGGACAGUUCUGUCUAAAUUAGUGGGCUGUCCGUCUGGCUGUCCAUUCAUAUGUUUAUCUUUUGGCUGGUUGCUGAAGAAUCUGUCUAAAGUCUGUUUGAUUAUAGUCUCUAUUGUUUCAUUUUUUCUUUUAGAUAUUAAAGUCUUCUUUAAAAUCUUAUUACCUGAUCUUGUUAACUUAUUUUUUGAUGAAGAACAUCCUUCAUCUUCACUUUUUGCCCUUCAUCUUCACUUUUUGGCAAAGUGACAGCCAUUAACGGGUUUGAUUUGUCUUUAUCGGUCACCGUUCUUUAGGAAAUGGAAAGGUAAAACUCCAACCACACAUUGCAAAGAAGGUAUUAGAAAUGCCAGAUAAAUUAGAAAAGACAAAAGAUUUACAAAAAUUUUUAGGAUUAGUAAAUUAUGCAAAAAAUUUUAUUCAAGAUUUAGGAAAAGUAGCAGGACCAUUAUACGCAAAGACAGGUAGUAAAGGGCAGAAAAAUUUCAAUAUAGAAGACAUUAAAUUAAUCCAAAAAAUAAAAGAAAUUUUGUAUUACUACUUAAAGUUAAUUUUCCAAUAAUAGAAAACUUGAAGCUUUUAUUUAAAUCACAAUGAUACAAAGUUUAUACAAGAAAGACUGGCUUGGAUAGGUUUUUUGGGAGGAAGGGUUUACACAUUUCAAGUAGGUUUUUCGGAGCAUUAGUAGAUCCCGGAUGGAGAACUCUGAGUCUGAGUUUGUGUUUUUGCAUCCGUCUUGCUUACAUUUGUCUGCUGGUUGAGUCUCGCUUCUAAUAAUUGUAUCUGCUUUAUUAAUCUAGUGUUUUCCACGAGGAGUGAUUCUUUCUGGGCAUUUAGCUUCUUGAAAUUCUCCGUCAUUGAAAAACAAUGGUUGCAGAAAAUAAUCUUUCCAGUCUCUUUUUGCAAAUUAUACUGAGGUAUUUGAUCUGGAUUUUAUCUGAGUGAAGGAGAUAUAUAGUAAUUUGGUCCUAAAUAUCCUCUAGCAUGAUUGGUGGCUUCGGUAAAAUCAUUAAAACCUUUAAAAAGAGGAGCUUUAAAACCUUGUAUUGAAUCUAACACUUCUAACCAUGUUUGAAAAAUUCCGUUAGUUUUUCCAUGAAUAACUACAUAGUAUUUAAACCUAGGCCUACUCUUUUCUGCCAUGUAAUGGCAUAAAGAGUUCAUGGAUGCCAUAAAAUGAUUACGGUUUUGUUUAUUAUAAGAGAUCCAAAGGUUAUCUACUAAACACCUUUGGGGUCUAUCUAAAAUGUAAUCUGGUCUUAUUCUAAAAGAUAUGUUACUCUCAGGGUAAACAAUUAAAUUAAAUGGUCCGAAGUGAAUUCUUUCACUUAAAAUAGACAUAGAUCUUAUUACACUUUUGGGGAAUUAAUUAGAACAAAAUAAGUAUAGUUGAAUUAGUUAAGUGAAAUCAAUUUUGAAAAUUAGAUUAAUUAAAUUAUCCGAUAAGGUCUUAACUUAGUUUUAGCCCUUAAAAGCUAAUCAAGACCAGCCCAAAGACCUUUUUUAACCGAGCCCAAUCUAUUAUGCCCCAAACCCGGCCUAAAUAUCCUAUUAGCCUAAUGAGCCCAAGGACCGCCUCUUUGUCUCCAAUGUUGAACAUCAACUAAGAACCCAACCAGACUAGCCUAAUCACACUCUUCCAUGUCUGCAAUCCAUUCAACCCUCAAAACCAUCGAACAAAUAGCAAAACCCAUUGAUUUGAUAUCUCUUGUCAUCUGCUCUCUCUGUUUUUGGUAUCAAUCAAUAUCACCUGCCCUCCCAUCACCUUUUGUUGAAGAAAAUGCUCUGUAAUUCCAUCAAAAGAUGGAAAAAUUCAAAGACCCAUCAGUUUCAAUGUGUUUUUCCUUUGAUUCGAUGGCUGCCCAGCUUAAAUCGAUGGGUCCAAAGAGCCUUUCCUAAGAAUUCAAAUUUGAAUUAUUGGGUACCUGAGAACCGUUGCAAUCCUCUCAAAUUUGGCUAUAAAUGAGCUAUUUAGCUCCUAUUUUGAUCAGCAAUUAAGGAAUCAUCAAGAAUCAUCAACAAUUAUUGCUAGUUAGUUGCUAAAUAUCAAGAAACUCAUAAUUUUCCUUAUUAUUUUUCUCGCUCCCUUUCCGAGUCCAAAUUCUUAGUUCAAUUCUUCAAUGAGGAAAAACUAUUUCGCUGCUCCAUAAAAGGUAAUCACAUUCACCUUUUAUUUCGGUUUGGUUCCUAGAAAUAAAAUGUAGUCGUUUAAUAUUCUUUUUCCUUUGUCGAAAUUCUACCUAUUUGGAUGUGUUGGUUUUUCAUUGUUUCCUGUAGUUUCAAUCUGUAAAAUAAAAUGGUUAACGAUAACUGAUAACAUUUAUAGAAACUAUUGGUGAAUAAGCUUGUCAUUCACAUCGUUAUGUUCUGAAGUUCGUCGAAACCUGUUAUGCCGUUCUUGUUCUAAAAUCUCUGUCAAGAGGUUUUAAAAAAUGAACUUGAAUGUUUAGGUAGAUAGGAUUACUUUGCUACGCAUUAAGGAUCUGUGUGUGAAUGAAAGGUUCAUUUACUGGCUACCCAUCUCUUGUCUCAAAUUUGACACAUCUGAAAAUUAGUUUAUAUUUAGUUUAUUUGAAAGUCAUUACUGGACGAUUUCUUUAACCCAAAAUCGACAAAGUAUCAGUUCUGAAUUUAGCUAUGUCGAAAAGGUGAAGUUGAAAGUCUAAAUUUGAUUGCGAUGUUCUGUUUCAAAUUUCUCGAAUUGACUAAGACACAUUUUUGGACAAUCUGCAGCCCUCAUUUUAGCUUAGCAGGUACAUAGAAUUUGGUGAAACCGAGGUUUUUUACUUGUUUUUAUUUGUUAAUAGGUAUAUAUAAGUAGAACCAAAAGUGUUAACUCGAUAAUCUCUUCUUCUCCUCAUGAUUACAAAUAAUAAAUUGUGUGCAGUAGGUUUCUUCCUAUGAUUGCUACUAUGUACUUAAAUAGUUUACCGUCUGAAUUGAGUGUGUUGUCCCUCAUAACCAUGAGGCUUACGAAGUGAGAAAUUGGGAAUCUUUUUUAUAGUAAACUAAAAACUGUGUGAGAUCUUGAACUGUAUGUGCUAUCUGGUGAUUUGAUUUUAGUUUGGUAAUCUGCAUUGUCAUCAGGACUAAUAUCAAAUUUAGAACACAUUUGUGUUUCAGCUUACCUUAAUGAUUCUUAGUGAUUUUGUACUUGCAGUAAACAAUGUUUUUGAUCUAUUAAUCAUGUUUUAAGAUCAUGUGUUGAUGCCUAACAUCUCUUUUUGGAAUAUAACUUAUUAUUUCCAUCUUUAUAGUAUAUAAAACAUGCUCAUAGAGGUUUGUUUAGAAGAUCGUUAUCCAUACUGUUUGGAUGUUAAUUAAUCUUUAGUUACAUACUUGAACCAUGUUUCCAGAUUUUCAUCAGUCUCCCACGUAAAGGUGUUCUUUUUAGACUUUGUGGUUAAUGGGUUUGUUUCAAAAUUUCCCUUUGUUCUUGCCUAUAGUAAUUAGAUAUGAGUAUAUUUUAGCUUCGCGAUUAGUCACCUUAGGACACGUCAAAUCCCUGACCUCGGCCAAAAUGGUGGCCAGUUUAAGCAACAUUUGGCUUUAGUUGAGUUUGCAUAUAACAACAGCUAACAUUCCAGUGUUGGCAUGGAUCCUUUCGAGGCAUUGUAUUGUAGGCAUUAUCACUCCUCAAUGGGUUGGUUUGAUGUUUCAAAGGUAAGACCUCAAGGUACGAACUUGCUUCGUGAGACUUUGGAUAGAGUUCGGGUCAUUCAGAAUAGAUUAAGAGCGGCUCAAAGUAGGCAGAAAUGUUAUGCUGAUCGUAGACUUCAUUCCUUAAGAUUUGGUGUUGGUGGUCGUAUUUUCCUUCUAGUUUCACCCAUGAAGGGUGCGAUGAGGUUUGGUAAAAGGGGCAAGCUUAGCCCCAGGUAUAUUGGUCCAUUUGUGAUUCUUCAGAUUGUUGAUGAUGUGGCUUAUGAGUUGGCAUUGUCCUAUGAUCUAUCAGCUGUUCAUCCAGUUUUUCAUAUUUUUAUGCUUCGCCACUCAGGAUAUUAGGCAGUUAUACUCUAGAGUGAUCCCUGUGGCUAAGGUCUAGUGGCGACAUCAACCUAUAAAUGAGUUCACUUGGGAAGUUGAGUCUGAUAUCUGUAGUUCUUAUCCCCAGCUCUUCAUUGAUUCAGGUAUUUCUUUUCUUGGUUCGAGGAUGAACUAGAUUUUUAGUGGUGGAUAGUGUAACGACCAUUUUUUUGAUGAAAUAUGUGAAUUGGGUGUUUCUGUGUGAUUUGACUAUUUUACCCCUCUUCUUAGUUGCAUUAUGGUAUUUUUGGGGUGUGGGGGUGAUUGGCAUGGUUCCCGAUGUAUUUUGGGAUCAUAUAUGCGAUAUUAUGGUUUUUAAUAGCUUCGAGAGCCUUAUUUUGAACUUCUGUGGAUAUCCUUUGAUCCGUGUGUUGGAUGGCUGAAUGGAAUGCGCCAGAAGCUUUGGAAUAUUGAUUUAAGGCUAGGUAGACCUUUGGUUCGGGUCCCAGUGUACUAGAGCUUAUUUCGACCUAUGUCAAAAAUUUGAAAAUAGGAAAUAUGGGUGUGGGACUCAUAUUUGAUCGAAACGACAUCGGAUGGAAAAUUUGACUUCGCCAGCAGAUUUGAAUUGUUGAUUUUAAUGUGGUAACAUCUUGUGUGAUUUUAUGGCUUUUAAAUCUCAUUUUGAUCCUUGGUUUGAAAAAUUGUGAUUUCAGGUUUCUGGGGUCAACUUUGUGAAAAUGAUAUUUUUUUUAAUUCAACUUUGCCAACACAUCAGGAAUUUCAAAUUUAGUGUGGUUGCAUAGUUCAUUUGCAUAUAUCGGACUCCAAAGGAAUACCGGGCACCUCGUCGAAGUUCAGGUGGGACUAAAAGAAAAAUCUGGUGCAAAUCUGUUAUAAAAAUCAGCUUUUUUAUUCUUUUUGGCCCAUUGUGUCCAUUCUUUCACCUUGUCUCUUGAGAGUUAAACCCUAAAAUAGCAUGAGAGCUUAAAAGUGAAGCCUGUGUGUCACUCCCCGAGACUACCCCAUGGACGUCACAUGGUGCUUAGAACCACAAGUGAUCCUAAGCUAACCCUAUAUUGGCAUGAUGUUUGAGCUACUGAUUAAAAUACACAAAACUGGAAGUAACAUGCGGAAGAGAAAUCUUUAGCUGAACAUGCUCAAAACAAAACUAUUUAAUAUGAUUACAACUCUGGUCAUACAAAAUAAAACUGAAAUCAAAUACAACAACUCUACUGACUGUCUAUGAAGCCCCUACUAAUACUGACUAUGGGUAGUCGAGACACGACCUCCCAGCUAUCCCUAAUCAACAUGACUGAAUAAAAGAAUGAUACAUAAACUAUAGUUGACUCGAGCCCUCGAAUCAAAAGAACUCUUCACCUGCUAACUGGAAGCUGCGAACUGUCUGAUUAUGAUGUACUAUAUAUGGUACCUAUAUUAUGAGACAAUGUAGCACAUAAACAUAUAUGUGGGUCAGUACUUUUGGAAUGUACUGAGUAUGCGGGGUGAAUGCAUAAGUAAAACAAUAACUUACUCAUAUAAACUUUCAAAUGAUGCAUGCUAAGUGUAAAUGACUCACCUUGAGCUUGAAUAAAACAAAGACUGCAAAAUCAUAAAAUGAGUAAUGAAGCAUAAGGAUAAGCUUUGUGAGUCAUAACACUUAGUUCUAAAAGCUUUACUUUAUUCUUUCUUAGGGAGGUUCUUCUAACCGAUAUAAACUAUGUAAGCUGUCAUGGAGUCCAACGUCUUACCCUCAUUGGGGAGAGUUGUUCUACCCUUGACAUCGGAAUAGAACCUUAACUUAAGUGAUCACUAUACUUAACUCAUAUUAGGAUUUAAACCAAUGGUGGCACGUAGUUCUGGGGCAUGUGACUUGGGAUUCAUACCCAACUCGGUGCUAAAUACUACUCUCAUAUUACUUAGAUGCUCAUACUUUAGGAAAUCCACUUUAAAAUAGCAUAAGGGUUUAUAAAAUGGAAACCAGUUAUGCAUCUUAUUCUUUAAAUCAUAAUCAGGAUGAACAAAUGUGGAUUUCAUAUCUUAUCUUAAGAUCAAAAGAUUAAUCUUUGCUUUAAAUCAUGAUAUAAAACUUAUCAAUGGAACUUAAGAGCAUAAUCGUUUUGUAAACUCAAUACUUGUACUUAGAACUUAUAAUAUAUGCUUAAAUUCUUAGAAAUUCAUGAUAAGACUUCAUGCUCAAUAAUCAUCUUGGAAUCUUUCAACAAUCUCAGUCAAAAUAAUGAAACUAAAAUUACAAUAUGAAUCUUAUAAGUUAAACAUGGACAUAAGCAAUUCUUGAUAUACUUAAAGCUUUCAAUCACCUGUUAAUAACAUACUUCAAGAAUCUAAUAAUUUGGGUAUGAACCCUAAUUCAAAAAUAAGUAAAUUAAAUCUUUAGACUAUGCACUUUGGGCACACGGGUGAAAGAGUACCCUUGUGUAAUUCCUCGUAUUUCCUCGGCUUAAGAUUAACCCUCAGUUCAUGAGUUAUCCAACAUAAAAAUUUUGAAAUACUCAUUAUUUUUCAGUUUAGAGCCUUUACAUUGCAUGGGAAAUUCAAUUAGCUUUCCAAUGAUAUAAAAUUUGUCCAAAUCCGCUAAUCGUGUAAGAAGUUAUGGAGAUUCUAAGCUCCAGUCGUUAAACACCGUCAUUUUGAUCAAUAACGCGUUGCGGAGCCAGUCUAAAUGAUAAUUUUCAAUUUCCAGUGUGACUCCACGAUCUCACCGCAUCGCAGAGGGCUUCUAAUUCCCAAUUUUCCAAUUCCAGUAAGGGACCGCGAUAUUGGCAUAUCGCGUCAAGGACCCAGUUCACAUUUGUUAAUUUCCAGUAAAGCAACGUGAUUGUACCGCAUCACACCAAGCUUCUUGGUCUCAUCCAAGGUGGCAACGCGAUACCACCGUGUUGCAUCACCAUGCAUUUUCCUAGUUGGAAAUUUCCAAAGACACGGAGCGAUAGCGCUGCGUCACAUUAAGGGUGAAAAUCGGGACAUUUCAGUUAAUUUUGAGAUUUAUUUUCCAAGCGCUUUUAGGUAUUUUUCCCUAAUUCCAAUCAUCCUAAAUACGGGGUUAAAGCCGUACAUAGCCUAUUAACCCAUUAUUUUGCUCACUUAUCUCAAGAAAUAAAAGCCUUCUCUCAAAACUACAAACCCUAGCUUCAAGAAUCAAGGUCAAAACUCAAGAAUUUCUUCAAUCACCUUCAAGAACUAAUAACCCAAGGUAUGUUAGGUGUUCAUCUAUGGGUUCUUUUCACCCAUAGAGUCACAAAUCCAUUUUCAAAAUACAAGAUUAUUGAAUUAUGAACUUCCAUGCUUGAAUUGAAUUGAAAUUCAUGUUUAUGUUAUUGUUGGUUUUAGUCCAUGAUUAAAUUACAUGCUUUAAUGAAAUAAAUCAUUGUAUGUGUUGAAUUACACGAUCUUCAUGAUAAACCCUUCAAUUUUCAAGUUGAUUGAUGUAGCCAUGAUAACUAUAUGUUUUGAUUAUUGUAUAACCUAAGUAUACUCCCCGUGUGUUUGAUAAAAUACCUAUGUGAAUGAAAUAGUUUCAUUAUAAUAUGAUAGCAUGUAUUCCCCAUUCAUGUAUAAGUAGAUGUAUUACAAGUGUUUGAUUAAAUGCCUCUACGAGUGAACUAUGGACAAGUAUACAUUGUUAUGAUUUUCAAGAGUAUAUUAUGCUUUAUUUUUUAUGCUAUCAAGUCCUGGGGUAUUUAAUACUCGAUUAUUUAGCUGUAUUCCUAGAGCCAGUGUCAGUUACAGAAUCUCAGUCAUGUCAUGAUCAGUAGUACUCUCAGUCAGUUACAGAACUCAGUAGAACUCAGUCAGUUAUCGAACUCAGGAAAACUCAGUAAGCUCAGUAUCAGUCCAGUUUAGUUCAGUAUACUCAGUUCAGUGUCUUUUAGUUAGGAGUAGGAUUCAGCACCGAGUGAACCCAAAGACGGGGGUUCACCUGCCAGUAGAGGGUGUGGACUCUAUAAGCAAUCCUUGCGUUCCAAAAUUACGUAGCCAACGUAGGUUGAGAAAUCAAACUUGCCAUUUGAGGAUAGAUGAGGUGUUUUAGGAACCCCAUGAUGAGGUGUUUUAGGAACCCCAUUCUCAUUAGAGUACCUGCCAGAUGAGGGUUCCACCAUUCUCAUUAGAGUACCUGCCAGAUGAGGGUAACUCUUCAGUAUUUUUACCUGUGGCACGGUACUGACACCCUUCCAACUAGGGUCACAGGUUGGACCCCAACUCAAUUGUCUUAUUUGGGGCAUGUCAGUUAUAUGAUUACCUCCCACAGUCUCAGUCUCUAGAACUCAGUUCAGCUCUACAGAAUCAGGACUGUCAAAUACAGUCAACUAGUAUCAGUAAAUCAGUUAUCAGUAACUGAUAAUAACUUCAGAUAUCAGUUAUUCAGUUUCAGAAUUCAAGACUUAGCUUCAGAAAAGCAUAGUCACAGUAUUUAUUUAUAUGCACAUUAUUACAUACUUAGUAUUUACAGUAGUAUCAAUUAUCCAUGUACUCUCAUGUUCAGUUACUCUAUAUCAUUCAGUUAAUUAUUGUUCAUGCAUAUGAACCCUUGCAUUCAGCUUUACCUCAUCUAGCAUACCAUUACAUUCUACGUACUGACGGAUACUCUUUCUUUGCGUUAUGAUGUCUCAUAUCAUAGGUUCGAACACUCAGGUUUUCGACUGUCCAUAGAUAGACUCAGAUUCAGCUAGCAGCAGUAGAUUAGCAGCGAGUCCUCAUCAUUCAAGGAUAUUCUUUAUUUUAUUAUUUCAGUAGAUAGAGUUAGUUGGGGGAUUGUCCUAUCAACUCCACUUUCAGGCAGUUUCAGUUAGAGGCUUUUCAUACUAGUUUUCAGACAGUGUUCAGUUUUACAGAUUAUUAUUUCGGGCGAUAUAAUUUAUCAGUAUUUCAGAUGUCUUGAGCUUUAUGGCAUUUUAGCCUAUUAUUCCGUAUUUAUUACAGUAUCAUGUUUCAGUGCUCAAAGUAGAUAUCAGUCAUAGGUUAGCUUGUGGUCCUUCAGGGUCGUAAGUACCGUGUAACGUCUGUGGUACAGACUCGGGACGUUACACCUUGUUCAUAACCCCACAUACCUUAAGCUUUUAACUUGAGAGGAAAACAUAAUUCUUGAUGCUUUCUUGAAGGUUCUUGAACGUAGAAAAUUUGUAUUCUUGAUUCCUUGGGGAAAAAGAAAUUGAAUUAGUUCUUGGGGAAAGGGGAGGGUUUUCUUAAGAGGGAUUUAGAGAAGAAGGGCCAAUAAUAACCUAAAGAUGCCCAAAAUCAUGUUAGGGACGAUUGGAUUUAGGGGGAAAAGGCCUGAUUUUCCCUUAAUUAUUUAAAUAAAUAAAUCAAGAACUAGAUGCAACACCGUCACCGCGACGCGGUCAGCAUGUGAUCGAGACUAAUGCUGUGUUGCGGGCCUAUCGCGAUGACCCACUAGUUCCAUGAUCCAACCAUGCCCCAAACCUUGUCCAAAAAAUCUGAAACUCCCCUUAAGCAUGCUUCUUACAUCCCUGAAUAUGAAUUAACUCAAAAAGUAACAUCUCAGGGAUGAAAAGGUCAAAUAAAAAUCCUCAAAGUUUAUGGAUCUUGAAGAUGACUAAGUCUAAGUCCCCAACGCUUAGUGAAAAUUUCAAGCAUUAAGCCCCUUAGGCAUGCAAUUAAGAGCUGAAUCCAGCUAGAAUUAGUAUGGGGUAUUACACUGUGGGAGCUUGAGAAUCUAGAUUAACAUCUAUUUCUUGAUUCUAUUACUGAUUUAAGGUAAGAAUUCACCCAUUUUCUUAGUAAUUUCUUUUCUAAUUUCUCAAAAUUCUAAUAAUCUUAGGGCUUGAUUUUAAACCCCAAUUUCACUCAUUUUCAAUUGAUUAAUAUUUUGAUCUUAUAAUUACUGGUUUUUUUAUCAAUUUAAACUUCAAAAUAACUUUGAUUCUUGAUUUUAACUCGGUUUUCAAAGAUUUUACCCGAUAAAGCUUUAAAAUAGCUUUUCUUUAAUUUGAACCUCAUUUUUUUUACUCGAUUUGACUUGGGUUUUCAGCCGUAGGUUCCUAAAAAUAUGGUAAAUAUAUUUUUGAAGUAAAUUUAUGAUUUUUUUUCCUUCUUUUUUAUGGGCUUUCUACUUAUAUGUGUGUAUAAUGCAUAUAUGUAUUCUAUCUUGGUGUGAUAUUGCAAUGUAUGUGAUAUAUUAGAAUUGUUAGUGCAAGCGGUAUGGGCUACCAUUGUGGGAUAUUUUCUGAUUGCAAGUGACGUGCCCUUAGUGUAUAUUUUGUAUGCUUUAUUUUCUACUUUGCUCAGUCGGCCUAUGAUACCUACUGAGUACAAAUGGACCGUACUCACUCCUACUUCACCCUUUCGGUAUAGCUUUAGGUUUUGGUGCGGCUUAGACUAGUUGAUUUUUGGGCGUCUUUAGAUUACUCAAGGUAGCGGUUGGACAUUCAUACGUUCGAAGUUCACCUCAAUCUUUCUGUAUUAUGUAUGUCUUUGUUAGUAUUCAGAAACAAAUAUUGUUCCUUUAUGGUUAUUUUUCUGAUGUAUUUGACUCCUGGAUUAUAUUAGUAGUUCUUACACUAUUGACACCUGGUUUUGUGCUUGAUUAGUAUUUGGAAUAAGUUUUUUCUGCAUUGUUAUGAUUACUUUAUGGUUAGGCUUCAUUCUAGAAGCAUUACCUUGGGUAUUUUUGUCUUUUUUUUCCUUUUUUGUAUCAGUUUGGGUGAUAGCCUUACUUGUCAAGGUAUGCCGCGACAAGUGCCAUCAUGACCCUAUUUUUGGAUCGUGACCAAGUUGUUAUAUGUUUAGAAAUUAAUUUGGUAAAUAUGUAUUUAUGGAGAAAUAGUUUUUAACUUGCAAAAGAUAAUUUACUAUUUCUACUACUAUUUAAAAACACUUUUACUUUUUUGACCAAACACCUAAAAAAAUAUUUAUAUAUAUACUAGUUUAGGCUGCAUUUGUUUUUUUUUAAGAUUCAGACGUCUAAAUCUGAAUGCAUGUCUGAAUGAUUAAGAUGUUGUCUCUAGAUCUGAAAACUGAAUGAUUAAGACUGUUUGUUUUUCAAUAUCUGAAUGUACAAAAAAAAAUUAUUUGUAUAUAUAAUAGAAUAAAAAAUACAAUUCAAAUAAAAAACUAAUUAUAUAUCAGAAAAGUAUAUAAUUUAAUACGACAAAAUUAUUAUUUGAUUGAAAAAAAAUAUAUUUAUGUUUGUUAGUGAUAUAUUUAUGUUUGUUUGAUAGUGGUAGUUAGCGGUGAUGCUAGUUGUGAUAAAUGAGUUGGUCAAUAGUAGGGAUGUGGUGGUUGAUGAUGGUGGUGGUGUUGACGGCGGUGGUGGCGUUAAAUAUAAUUAAAAUAAUAGAGGUAGUAGAUGUGGUAGCGGUUGACAAUAGUGGUUGGUAGCAAUAUUUGUUAUCAAUGGUGGUUGUGAUUGUGGAGGUGGUUGGUGGUGGUGGGUGGUGGUUGACAAUGAUGGCGGUAGCAGAGGUGGUGCUUGAUGAUUAUGAAUACAGUGGCGGUGAAUAUUAUCCAACACCAGAAUACCUCUUCAGACCUAUUAAGACUUGAUUCUAUGUUUGAAUGAUUGAGACCCAUUCAGACCUAUUAAGAGCUAAAAUCUUAAUAAAAUACAAAUGCACUUAAUGGUCUGAAGUCUGAACCAUUCAAAUUCAGAUCUCCGUUAACUGCAAACAAAUGAGCCCUUAGAGUACGUGUGUUGCACGUGUAUUAAAUGCUAAAGAAGAAGUUUGCAUGUGUUUGUUUGUCCAAUGUUUAAAUAUAGUGACAGUAAUAUGAAAGAUUUAUAAUUAUAUUAAAUAGUUUAAAUUAUAUUUGUAAGGACCUUCACACUUUUACGAAGAGAAAGUAGUUAUAAGAGACUGGAAAGAUAGCUUUAUCAUGCCUUAUUGUAUGAACUUCCUGCAUCAUAGCAAAAGCCAAAGGUCCACUUUAUUGAUUGGGUUGGUGCUAUUAACAUGGAAUAUAAUAAGGAUUAUUGAAAUAGAAAUAGAUUAAAUUGUCCUCCAAUCUUGUAUUAAGGAAGUAUUCAAAAUUCCAUAACUUCUAUUAUCAAGGUCAUACAAAAUGUCCUUCAAGAUGCAAAUUGGGUCAUUCUUAACUGUUACAGGGAGACAUAUCAAGUUGCAGAUAAGCUCGCUAUACUAAGCUAUAUUUUGAAUAUUGACUGCGUCUACACCUCUAUUGACAAUAUUCUAAGGGAAGCUAGAGAACCUUCGCAAAUGGAUGAAAGGAAGAUUCCUAAAUUUUAUUAGUUAAAAUUUGGAGUAUCUCCUGUUACAAUUAAUUAUUUUCUUAAGCUAAUCUUACAAUCAAGAGUUUUAUUAGGAGCUUAGAUUUGCAAUUAUUGAAAAUAUUCUCUUUACUUUCACAAAUUAGGGUAAGUCUGUGCAUACACCACCCUUUCUAAACUUCAUUAGUAAAACUAAAUUGAAUAUAUUGUUGUACAUAUUAUUAUUUAUUUGUUGUCAUUUAAUCCCCUCAAAUAUACCUUAAUUUGCAGAUAAAACCAUAAACAAAUAAAGAGUUGUUUUUUAAAUUAGGAGUAUCAAAUUAAUAGUUUCGUCUAAUUAGGACAUUUACAAUCCUUUGUUAACUCUAAAAUCUAAACAUAGAAACUUGUUUGUUAUAUUUAUUAGUGUGAAAAGGAAUUCUAAGUACUUCUAACAUAUAUUAGUCUCGUGGUUUUGUCUAGCUAAACCAAUUAACUAUUAAUCAACUGUAUCGCCCCCAACGUUAAUUCUCGGAAAAAAAAUUAUUGAUAUUUUCAUCUUUUCUUUUAUCAUAUAUUUUAGUACUUUUUGUUUACAUAUAUAGGAAAAAGAAAAACUACCAAUAAUAGUUCUCAUUAUAUUUUCCUCUUAAUUAUCAAUAUAUUUUAGGACUUUUAGGACUCCUUAAUUUUUCAAAAUUAUAGUAAGGAUUUAAUUAAUUAAUGACACUUUUAGGAUAAAAUAUACUUCAAUUAUUUAGUUCAAUAUAUUUUUAAGAAAAGUCUAAUCAAUCAGUAAAUAAUCGGGAUCCCUCCACACUUAAUAGAGAAUUAACGAAAGACAACAUAAACUAUCAAAAAGAUGAUAGAUCUCUUACAUGUAUUUACCAUGUACAAGAGCUAGAGAAAGGUUUGUAUAUGAUGAUUAAUACAAAGAAUACGAAAUAAAGCAAGUGACUAUGAUGAAGAAACUGCAGAUAAAUAGUGAAGGUAGCAAUGGGACAUUCAAAAGUCUACUCAUUCACCUAGUAUCCAGCAAGUGUUAUUAUACUAUUGGCAAAUACUAUAGUUAAAUUCCCGCUUAUGUUGAAAGUAGUUGGCCAUUAUAGGUUCAUUUAGAAAGCCUCGAAAACAUGACUCGAGAUAGAAGGUCUGCAUGUUUGAAGAGACAAAGAUGUUAUUAUUGUUAAACAUGAUUAGUAAUGUUGUUGCAUUUAAAGUCAUUAGUUCUAUAUAUGCACGAAUUACCACCCAGUACUUCAGCAGCCAUAAAUAAUGUGAUUGAGCUGAACCGACAUAGUGUGGCGCCAGAAUAAGGGAUUACGACAUGAAAACUCAUAACUAUUCCCUAGCAUAUCAAGAUUUCUGGGGUUGGCAAAAUCAUAACCAAAAGUCACUCUAAAAAUAAUGCUUUUAUCAUAACAGAAAUCACUUUCGAAGACUAUAUAUAUUCAAGUCAAAAUCACAUAAAUUAGUCAUUUAUGUGUUGUAUCUCAAAAUCAUACAAUCACAAAUCAAUCAUAAUCAACACUCAAACUUAAAAUCAAUAACAACAAUAAUCACAUAUUUAGUGUAAUUCCACAAUUAGUGAGAUCUGAAAAGGGUUAUAUGCAAAUUUUAUCCGUAACUUUGCAGAAUAUAAAGAUGAUUUUCAAUGACCCUCGACUCGAGAAAACAUGAUAUAAAGCAAAAGGGUCAUUAAUGAUGAUGUCACGGUAAUUAAGAUUUCUGUGGAUAACAAAAAUCAAGAAAAACUAAUUAUGGUAUUAAACUUCCUCUCAAUUUUACAAAGACCCAAAAAAGUUAACUAUGAUGCGAUACUUGCUCUCAAUUUAACAAAAACCUUUAAAGAUUAAUUCUGUUACGAAAAUUGUAAUUGUAAAGUAUACCAUCCUUAAACCUUCAUAGUAAUCUGAUUAUAAUGUGAAUUGAGGUUGAUUUAUGUAGGAUUCACUUUAAAUAUUCUUCUUUCUUUCUGGAAUUUGAUGUGCAGCCAAAGGAAAAAAAAUCAAGUAUGUUGAUAACUUACACAAUUACAUUACUAAAAUUCAACUCAAUCCUAAAUUUGUAAAUAUUAAAAGUUUUUACGUAAUUAUUCAAAUAGAGAAAGAUAUUAUAACAAAAAUACACGAAAUACACUCGAAAAAAUAAAAGAAAAACUAUGGUAAAGUAGGAGAUAACACCUGAAAGUUGCAAUGAAACAAAACUGAAAAUCAUCUAUCAAAAGGCUGAUAAUAUCAUAAUUUUGGCACAGCAUCAAUCACAAAUACACAAGAUAAAUAAUAUAACACAAAAAAAAAUUCAAAAUGAUUGAAACAAAAACUACACAUAAAACAUCACAAGAGGAUAUCAAGAAAGCAAAAAACAAAUCUAAAUCUAACACAAAGCCCAAAAAUUAUUCAAUAGAGCUUCAAAUCACAUUAUCAAGCUAAGUAAAUUGUUAAUAGGGGAUGUAUUAAUUAGAAUAAGCAAAAAGGGGCAAGACAAUACGAAUAAAAUUUAGUUAAUAUGAGUAUUUGAGGAUGUAUGAAUCAGAGGUAGAGGACAGUUCAUAACAGUUUCUAACUUUCAAUAUUUAGCAAAUAACUUAUUCAAAACAAUAAUUACCCGAGAUAAAAUUAUAAAUUAUAAUUUUACAAAAGCUCAACCUAAUUGGCUUGAUUUCAUUGGUAAUAAAAUUAUAGCUUUCUGAACUUGCUGAAAUUAUAGAUGGGUUUUUGUCUUCUUACAGUUACCCGAUAAACAUGCAUGGAAGGUAUUGUAUUAUGGUAUAACGUAGAAAUUGCAAAGAGUUUGCAACUGAAGACGUUUAAGGUUGAACAAAUUUCUUUUGCUAUGAAAAAUAAUAAAUAUACUUCAAGCAUUAAGUUAUCUGCAAUUCCUUGUUUACGUGGAUUCUAAAACUUCCCAUUCGUAAAUAUAAUUUUUUACUUCAAAUAUUAAUUUAGGGCUUUCUAAUGGUUUAAAUAAAGAAUGAAUGAAAUCAGAAUUUAGUUGAUUUAGAAUUAUUAAGCUAAUAGAAAAAAUAUUAGUUAUCAUUAAUUCAUAUGACUUCUAAUAAGAAAAGAUUUAAUCAUAAAUAUAUUUAAUUAAUUUUCAACUCUUAAAUAUUAAGAAAAAAUAGUGAAAAGACAAUUUUGUCUAAAACAAAGACUUGGGUAAAAAGUUCAAACAACAUUUCUAAGACCCUUCACACAUUUAAUAUUACUAGUUUAGGUGUUCGCGCCUUGUGUGUGUACCUCACUUUAAUGAGUUCAACCAUUACACUAAAUAGGAUGUUUGUUUAAAUAAUAAAGAUGAAUAUAAUAAUUAAAUUUAAUAUCUUUUGAAUAUGUAAAGAUGGAGAAUUUAUUUAUUAAACGUAACUUUUACCAAAAAUAUUUUUAAAAGUCGAUCGACAUACAUUUACCAUCUGUAAAUUGAAACAAAAUAAUACAAUAAUACAGACAUCAUUAUAAUAUAAUUAAAUCUAAUCUUUACAUACAAAAAAAUUCUCAAAAUCGUCCGAUACUCAUCUACCACCUGUAAACAAUAACAAAAUAAUACGAUAAUAGAGAUAUCAAAAUAUUACAACUAAAUCUAACAUUUACAUAGAAAAAUUCCUCAAAGCCAAUCAACAUUUAUCUAUCACCUGUAAACUGCAACAAAAUAAUACAAUAAAAGUGAUAUCAAAACAAUACAAUUAAACUUAAAUUUUACACAAAAAUUUCUCAAAGGUGAUCGAGAUUCAUCUACGAACUGUAAACUACCACAAAAUAACAAACUAAAUUAAAAUAAAAUAAUAAGAUAAUAAAGAUAUCAAAACAGUACAAUUAAACCUAACCUUUACACAAAAAAAGUCUUUAAAGCCAACCGAUAUUUAUCUACGACCUGUAAACUAUAAAAAAUAAUAUAAUAGUGAUCACAAAGCUUCGAUUUUGAUCCAACUAAUUUUUGUCUGAGCGAAAAUUUUGACCCUAAAGAAUGAUUUUAAAUGAAAACAAAGAAGAUAUAUAUAUAUAUAUAUAUAUACACACACACACACAUGUUGAAUUCUAUUAUGCUGGAAAAAAAACAGUAAAGAAGUUGAGGGUUAGAAAAUCAAACUUCCGUCAAUCUAGACAUGCAAUCGAAUCAAGUUAGAUGAGCAUUAAUCAUAUUCUCCCAAUAGGCAAACCAAUUUGUUCACUAGUUUAAUAUACUUUUCAAUAUUUAUAGAAGUAUUUCCUUAAUAGAUUCCUAUUUUAGGAGUAUUUUUCUAAUUGAAUAAUAGAAAGAAAAAUAUUAAUUAAUUCUACUACCAUAUAUUUUAGGANNNNNNNNNNNNNNNNNNNNNNNNNNNNNNNNNNNNNNNNNNNNNNNNNNNNNNNNNNNNNNNNNNNNNNNNNNNNNNNNNNNNNNNNNNNNNNNNNNNNNNNNNNNNNNNNNNNNNNNNNNNNUAAUUUUGUCUAAAAAGGGGGAUUUUUAUUAAAGGACAAAAAUUUAAAAGCACUUUUUAAGGAUCUUCACAUGUUUAAUAUAUUAUAUAUUAUAUAUUAUAUAUUUAUAUAUAAAAAAAAGAAUUAACUUCAUCUCCUUCGAGUUGGUCAGGGGGUAACAACCUAGCUAUUCCGUGUAAGCUGAGAAAGAUAGUUAAUUAUGUGUCUCAACUUCAAGCUAGCCCCGAGAAAAGCACUCCAUUCGUAAGAAAAACAAAAGGAGCUGCAAGCGGAAGACGAGUAUGCUACAGAAGAAGAAAAAGCCUUCGAAAGAAAACUCUCUUAAUUUAUCUGGCCCAAGGGGUUCAGUAAGAUCUCUUCUUCCCACGGACCGAGUCCAACUAUUUUUUUUAGAAAAAAAAAAAUGAAAGAUCUUUUUGAAGGACAAUUUUGGCAUUAUAAAAAGGGUUAUGCACAAAUUUGAUCAACUCAAAUUUCUAAACUGGUUCAAGGCGACAUGGAUAAUACAAUUUAGAUUAUACCAUUUGAAAUUGAUUUACAAAUUCAAUUUUAAAAUAUUAUAAUUUCUCAACAUAAUUUGAUCCAUUUAUGUCAUUUUGAACAACACAUUAGAAGCCUUAUUUUUAAUUUCUUUUCCAGAUUAUUAUUUAGUGGGAGUGCAAAAUGUUUGAAAGAAAAUAGGUAUAGUUACUAUUAAAAUCAUUAAUACUAUGUAGUAACCUUAGCCACUACUUAUUUGUAACCAUAUAACAUAUUUUACAUAAUUGACUUUCCUCAAGAAGUGAAUUUUUAAGUAAAUCAGUUAGAAGUAAUUAUUUAUCAUAUAUAACACAUGAUAAUAAUAAACAAAUAAACAAAAAGUAGAAAAGUAUUACUAAAGACACGUUUUGCUUCUCCAAAAUUCUACUUUCAUGAAUUUAGAAAUAAGGGUCUAUUUGAAAAGUCAUCUGACAUUUGAAAUUACUGUAAUUAUUAGGGUUGUAAUGUCCAGUCUAGCAAUUACACAACCUAAUAAUAAUGAUGACAUAUUUGUUUUUCAUAAUAUAAUCACAGUAUAAUUACAAGUGUACAGUUUAGUUGCACAAAUGUAAUCACAUGGUUAUAUUAAACUUUUGUCAAUGGUACAAAAUAUUAAUUGUGUCAAAUCAUGUGAUAAUCUUGCAGAUGAACUAACAAGGCCUUAGCAAGAUAAAGGGUUUCAAGCACAUCAAG